AUCACUAAGCGGAGGAAAAGAAACUAACAAGGAUUCCCCUAGUAACGGCGAGUGAAGCGGGAGAAGCCCAGCGCCGAAUCCCCUGCCCUAGCGGGUAGAGGGACCUGUGGCGUUUGGGAAGUCCAUUGGGUCGCGGCGCCGGGUCCGAGUUCCCAUGAUCGGGGCCCUCGCCCAAGGCGGGUGUCAGGCCCAUGCGGCUCGGCACCGCGAUCCUACGGACUUCUCCGGAGUCGGGUUGUUUGAGAUUGCAGCCCAAAGUGGGUGGUAAACUCCAUCUAAGGCUAAAUACUUACACGAGUCCGAUAGCGAACAAGUACCGUGAGGGAAAGUU
rnacentral:rRNA from 1 species